AAACGACUCUCGGCAACGGAUAUCUCGGCUCUUGCAUCGAUGAAGAACGUAGCGAAAUGCGAUACUUGGUGUGAAUUGCAGAAUCCCGUGAACCAUCGAGUCUUUGAACGCAAGUUGCGCCUGAUGCCAUUAGGUUGAAGGCACGUCUGCCUGGGCGUCACGC
rnacentral:rRNA from 1 species